AUGGUGGAGGAUGAGACAGGUCUCUGCGGCUUUUCUGGGUUUGCCCGCCCAGCUGCUCCAUGCCACGAGAAGGAAGAGCACGGCUCGCCUCGCUGCAGUGGGUGGCAGGGACGGAGACUGCAGAGCGCUGGAGAGGUAGGAGCAUGGCUGGUUGCCACCAGGGCAGGGACGGGUGCAGAGGUGGCCACGUGGCAGCCUCUGAGGCGGCCUUGGUCCCUGGGUCCCCUCCCUGCUGUUUAUGGCAGGCAGAGCUGGGGUUGCCACUACUUCUGAUGUGCCAUGUGCAGGUGGCAGCUACAGUUGAGCCGUAGGGUGGCAGUACUGGUUUCUGUUCUUCUGUUCCUUUUUGUCCCUGGUCCAGGGCGCUGGUCGCAGGCUCUGGUUGCCCUAUAGCUACUGGGAUGGGGCUGUGUACCAGUUCCAGUCCUCCUCCUGCUGCGGGGCCUGAUUUAGGCGCCACAGCAGGGUCUGGCCCUUAGGUCCGAGUUGCUGGAGGAAGCAGGCAGGAUCAGGGGUUGCCACCAUGCUGCUGAAUGCCAUCUCUAAGUGGCAGGUGCAGCAGAAUGCACAGGAGGCUGCAGGGCUGGUCUCAGACAGCCUGGGAGUCGCCCAGGGCACCUCCCCCCACUCUAAGAUCCAUGCUUCCUUGGCCCAAGCCCAGAGUGUGGGGUCGCGGGCUCUGGGCCCUGCAGCAUCCAGGAUGAGUCUGAGCGCCAGUUUCCAUCACCCUGUAGCUGCGCCGCCGACCGCCUAAAUUAGGCACCAUGGUGACAUCUGGCCCUGGGAUUCCUGCUGCUGGUGGGGGAGGACAGGGCCAGGGGUUGCCACUGAUACUGACUUGCGCCAUUUCCAGGUUGCAGCUGUGGCUGAGCCCAUGGCAGAUACUUGCGGGCUGCUCCCCGAGGGCAUGGGGAUCAGGGAGUGUACCACCGUCCCACCCUAGGGUCCACUUUUCCUUAGGCCUGGCCCAGAGCACAGGUUUUCAGGUGCUGGGCACUGUGCAGCCACAGAGUUGUGACUGAGCGACUCCUGCCCUCCCGCACCUGUGGGCUGACUGUGGC
rnacentral:lncRNA from 1 species